rnacentral:rRNA from 1 species
GAUGAACGCUGGCGGCGUGCCUAAUACAUGCAAGUCGAGCGAACGGACGAGAAGCUUGCUUCUCUGAUGUUAGCGGCGGACGGGUGAGUAACACGUGGAAAACCUACCUAUAAGACUGGGAUAACUUCGGGAAACCGGAGCUAAUACCGGAUAAUAUUUUGAACCGCAUGGUUCAAAAGUGAAAGACGGUCUUGCGGUCACUAAUAGAUGGAUCCGCGCUGCAUUAGCUAGUUGGUAAGGUAACGGCUUACCAAGGCAACGAUGCAUAGCCGACCUGAGAGGGUGAUCGGCCACACUGGAACUGAGACACGGUCCAGACUCCUACGGGAGGCAGCAGUAGGGAAUCUUCCGCAAUGGGCGAAAGCCUGACGGAGCAACGCCGCGUGAGUGAUGAAGGUCUUCGGAUCGUAAAACUCUGUUAUUAGGGAAGAACAUAUGUGUAAGUAACUGUGCACAUCUUGACGGUACCUAAUCAGAAAGCCACGGCUAACUACGUG